rfam:Beta vulgaris subsp. vulgaris Bvchr6.sca018.con0051.1, whole genome shotgun sequence.
AACUUAUGGUGAGGGCAUGAAUGUAUCAUCUCCUUGAACCGCUCCCAAGCUUCCGCAAAUGUCUCAUCGUUCUCUUCUUAAAUGAGGAGAUUUUCCCCCUUAUGUU